rnacentral:lncRNA from 1 species
UUCAAUUACUACUACUGUCCCAAUCAAAUAGUCCUUUUCAGCUUUCAUAGCCGAAACAACUUCCCAAAGUUCUCUUUUGACUUGCAAAUAUGCACGCUAAUGAAUACUUAAAACUUUAGCUCCAAAUCAAACUGCAAAUCUAUUCCUACUUAAAUCAUCUUGAUCCACAGCCCAUCCCCCUCUUAUCUAAAGUUUCAUCCUUGUCUCCUUCUCUGCACCCUUUUAUAGGAACAUCAUCCAAAAAAGGCAUAGUCUUCUCCGGAAUAAAAUCUCUCAAUACCUUAUUCAUCCCAUUCAUCAUAUGUGCA